GACGAAGGUGGCAAGCGUUGUUCGGAAUCACUGGGCAUAAAGCGCACGUAGGCGGUGGCGUAAGUCGGGUGUGAAAUCCCUCGGCCUAACCGAGGAACUGCGCCCGAUACUGCGUUGCUUGAGGACCAAAGGGGUGCAUGGAAUUUCCGGUGGAGCGGUGAAAUGCGUUGAUAUCGGAAGGAACGUCGGCGGCGAAAGCGGUGCACUGGUUGGUCUCUGACGCUGAGGUGCGAAAGCCAGGGGAGCAAACGGG
rnacentral:rRNA from 1 species